rnacentral:rRNA from 1 species
UACGUAGGGUGCGAGCGUUGUCCGGAAUUAUUGGGCGUAAAGAGCUUGUAGGCGGUUUGUCGCGUCUGCCGUGAAAAUCCGGGGCUCAACCCCGGACUUGCGGUGGGUACGGGCAGACUAGAGUGUGGUAGGGGGAGACUGGAAUUCCUGGUGUAGCGGUGAAAUGCGCAGAUAUCAGGAGGAACACCGGUGGCGAAGGCGGGUCUCUGGGCCGAUACUGACGCUGAGGAGCGAAAGCGUGGGGAGCAAACAGG